UACGGAGGGUGCAAGCGUUAAUCGGAAUUACUGGGCGUAAAGUGUGCGCAGGCGGCCGCGCAAGUCGAGUGUGAAAGCCCCGGGCUUAACUUGGGAAUUGCGCUCGAAACUACGUGGCUGGAGUAUGGCAGAGGAAGGUGGAAUUCCACGUGUAGCGGUGAAAUGCGUAGAUAUCGGAAGGAACAUCAGUGGCGAAAGCGACUUCCUGGACCAGUACCGACGUUCAGGCACGAAAGCGUGGGGAGCAAACAGG
rnacentral:rRNA from 1 species